CCGUCAUUAAGUGUAAAAGAAGAAAAAUAAUAAAGACAACGAGUUAAUAGGCCUUGCACCAGCUAUUUAAUAAAGAGUUCGUAAUAGUUCACUCGAUAAAUUAUUUUUCUUUUAAAAUUUUGGUGGCUUAAAAAAAAAUAAAAGGAGGAAUCCAGAGGACUUCUCCGCAAUAAAAAAAGGAGAACGGAAGGACCCCCGAACGGGGGGGUCCUUCCUUCCCCCCGCCAUCUUUGGGCGGGUCCUCCAUUUCAAAAGAAUUCCAAAAAAAUUCCGAAACUAUGAAAAGAAAAACCCGAGACGGAGGAUGGAGCCAUAGGCGCUUCCCGCCGUAGCCCCCCCCCGUUUUUUGGUUUUUUUUAUUGGUAGCAGAACGUAUAGUAAAAAAUAAAAAUUCGAAAAGAAAAAUCUAUAGAGAUAAUGCGAACAUGAGUAACGAGGGAUCUGUAGGAUCCGGGCCUAAGGUUUCCAAGGGGCAUUUUUGGCCCCGGGUGAACCAGUCCCUAAUAACUAAAUAAAAGGGGGGAGUCCAUCGGAUUCCCCUUUUUUUAUAUUUUUAGCUACGGGGUUUUAAUCUAAAAUACUGAUUAAUAGCCCAGGAAAUAAUUAGAAUUUAUAUGACUGUACUAAAAUCUAACAAAAGUGGGCAAAAAAAAAAGGAGAAUUAUUAUUAAGGAACUCGGCAAGUUACACGUGUAAGAUUUCGAGAAACGUGAAAAACCCUUUAUGAGAAGGAAGCUUCCAAAAGAGUUUUUUUAAGAUAAAAGGGAGCCUCGCCUGUUUACCAAAAA
rnacentral:rRNA from 1 species